UACGAAGGGGGCUAGCGUUGCUCGGAAUCAGUCUGGGCGUAAAGCGGCACGUAGGCGGAUUGAUUAAGUCGGGGUGAAAUCCUGGAGCUCCAACGUCCAGAACUGCCUUUGAUACUGGCGAUCUUGAGUCCGGGAGAGGUGAGUGGAACUGCGAGUGUAGAGGUGAAAUUCGUAGAUAUUCGCAAGAACACCAGUGGCGAAGGCGGCUCACUGGCCCGGUACUGACCGCUGAGGUGCGAAAGCG
rnacentral:rRNA from 1 species